GCUGGGAUAGCUCGGGCAGUAGAGCAUGAGAAUCCUAAUCUCAGGGUCAUGGGUUGGAGCCUCACGCUGGGCA